rnacentral:misc_RNA from 1 species
AGAAAGAAGAUCAGAUGGGCAUCUAGAAGAUGAAAAUAGAGAAGAAGGGUAUGUAAAAAUCAAGAGAAAGAAGGAUUUUUUAAAUAGAAAAUGAAGAGAAGAGAAGGAAACAAUAAUGGAUAUGGCUUGUCAUUUUCCUUAUGAAUCUUUCUCUCUCUAAAAAAGCUAUUUUUUGUGCCACCGGCUGCCAAGAAGAUUCAAUAGGGAGUUUGAAACCUUCAGAUGCACGAGAGAGAGAGAGAGAGAGAGAGAGA